GGAUAACGUUUGGAAACGAGCGCUAAUACCGCAUGACAUUAUCUUAUCGCAUGGUAGGAUAAUCAAAGGAGCAAUCCGCUGAAAGAUGGGCUCGCGUCCGAUUAGGUAGUUGGUGGGGUAACGGCCCACCAAGCCGACGAUCGGUAGCCGGACUGAGAGGUUGGACGGCCACAUUGGGACUGAGACACGGCCCAGACUCCUACGGGAGGCAGCAGUAAGGGAUAUUGGUCAAUGGGGGAAACCCUGAACCAGCAACGCCGCGUGAGGGAAGACGGUUUUCGGAUUGUAAACCUCUGUCCUCUGUGAAGAUGAUGACGGUAGCAGAGGAGGAAGCUCCGGCUAACUACGUGCCAGCAGCCGCGGUAAUACGUAGGGAGCGAGCGUUGUCCGGAUUUACUGGGUGUAAAGGGUGCGUAGGCGGCUUGGCAAGUCAGUAGUGAAAUCCAUGGGCUUAACCCAUGAACUGCUAUUGAAACUGUCGAGCUUGAGUGAAGUAGAGGUAGGCGGAAUUCCCGGUGUAGCGGUGAAAUGCGUAGAGAUCGGGAGGAACACCAGUGGCGAAGGCGGCCUACUGGGCUUUAACUGACGCUGAGGCACGAAAGCGUGGGUAGCAAACAGGAUUAGAUACCCUGGUAGUCCACGCUGUAAACGAUGAGUGCUAGGUGUCGGGGGGGCAAAGCCCCUCGGU
rnacentral:rRNA from 1 species